rnacentral:rRNA from 1 species
AGAGUUUGAUCCUGGCUCAGAACGAACGCUGGCGGCAUGCCUAACACAUGCAAGUCGAACGAGACCUUCGGGUCUAGUGGCGCACGGGUGCGUAACGCGUGGGAAUCUGCCCUUGGGUACGGAAUAACAGUGAGAAAUUACUGCUAAUACCGUAUGAUGUCUUCGGACCAAAGAUUUAUCGCCCAGGGAUGAGCCCGCGUAAGAUUAGCUAGUUGGUGGGGUAAAGGCCUACCAAGGCGACGAUCCUUAGCUGGUCUGAGAGGAUGAUCAGCCACACUGGGACUGAGACACGGCCCAGACUCCUACGGGAGGCGGCAGUGGGGAAUAUUGGACAAUGGGCGAAAGCCUGAUCCAGCCAUGCCGCGUGAGUGAAGACAUGCCUUCGGGUUGUAAAGCUCUUUUACCCGCGGAAGAUAAUGACUGUACCGGGAGAAUAAGCCCCGGCUAUCUCCGUGCCUGCAGCCGCAGUAAUACAGAGAGGGGCUAGCGUGGUUCGCGAAUUACUGCGGCGUCUAGCGUACGUAAGCCGACAUUCAUGUCAGAGGUGAAAGCCCUGGGUUCAACUACAUGAUCUGCCUAUGACACUAGGUGUCUCGAUCACAGGAGAUGUGAGUGGACUUAUGACUGUACAUGUGACAUCCGUACAUAAUUCAGACCAGAACAUUUGCUAAAAGCUGCCCACUGGACCGCAUGAUGACCGCUGAUGGUAUCCAUGAGCCUUGGGAUAGCAACUCCUGGAGGGGCGAAUUUCCCUGGCGUAAAUUUCACGGUC